GAGAGCAAUGAAAUAAAUAAAUAAGCCCGGCAGCACCAAUGAGCGCGGCAGAGCCGGCGGCGGCCGGAGCGGGGCUGGCUCCUUCGCCUGCCUCUGCCUGAAGCCGCAAAGUUCAGACCCAAACGUGUUGCGCCGCCGCCUGCUGCCGCCACCUGCUCCAACGCCCCGAGGAAGGCGGGCGGGCGAGGAGCUGCAGCUGCGUCGCCUCCCGCCUGGCUUGCCUGGACCGGCCGGGAGACGGCAGGCAGAUCUUACAUUUCCUCAAGAGAAUAAUAGAAGGCCUUAAGGAAAAAAAAAUCAAUCUGGGUUACCAGACUGAGCUGUUCUUCAGACAUGAGGGACUGAGAGAUGGGAUAAACUGCAAAGGAAUGUCAGAAUAUUGGUCACUGAAAACAAAUACUGAAAUUUGGGAGAAGGAAAUGCAUGUUGAUCAAAGCUGA
rnacentral:lncRNA from 1 species